CUACGGGUCGCAGCAGUGGGGAAUAUUGCACAAUGGAGGAAACUCUGAUGCAGCAACGCCGCGUGGAGGAUGACACUUUUCGGAGCGUAAACUCCUUUUAUAUAGGAAGAAGAUGACGGUACUAUAUGAAUAAGCGCCGGCUAACUCCGUGCCAGCAGCCGCGGUAAUACGGAGGGCGCAAGCGUUACUCGGAAUCACUGGGCGUAAAGAGCGUGUAGGCGGAUUAAAAAGUCAGAAGUGAAAUCCUAUAGCUUAACUAUAGAACUGCUUCUGAAACUCUUAAUCUAGAAUAUGGGAGAGGUAGAUGGAAUUUCUGGUGUAGGGGUAAAAUCCGAAGAGAUCAGAAGGAAUACCGAUUGCGAAGGCGAUCUACUAGAACAUUAUUGACGCUGAGACGCGAAAGCGUGGGGAGCAAACAGGAUUAGAUACCUGGUAGUC
rnacentral:rRNA from 1 species